rnacentral:lncRNA from 1 species
CCCCAUUUUCUUCACCCACUUUUCCCCCAUUUUUCCUCCCAUUUUUUUCCCAUUUCUCCCCCAUUUCUCCCCAUUUUUUCCCAUUUUCUCCCCAUUUUUCCCCAUUCCUCCCCAUUUUUUUCCCAUUUCUCCCCAUUUCCCCCCAUUUUUUUCCCAUUUUCACCCCGUUUUCACCCCGUUUCUCCCCAUUUUCACCCCGUUUCUCCCAUUUUCACCCCGUUUCACCCCAUUUCUCCCCGUUUUCACCCCGUUUUUCCCCAUUUUUCCCCAUUUCCCCCCGUUUCUCCCCGUUUCCCAGCCCCGAGUACUCCCGCUACUUUUCCCGGCGGGAUCUGGAGGCGUUUUCGGCGGAGCCGCUGCUGCUGUUCCCCACUCACUACACGGGGGAGCCCGGCUACGUCAGCGACACCGAGACGGCCCCGGCGCCGCCGCGCGACGAGCUCUGACCCCAAUAAAACUCACACUUGGAUUUUUAAACGGCUUUUUGCUGGUUUUAUUUUCGGGAUUUUUUUUGGGAUUUUUGGGGAUUUUUUAUGGGGUUUUUUGGGAUUUUUUUUGGAUUUUUUGGGGAUUUUUUUAUGGGUUAUUUUGGGGUUUUUUGGGGAUUUUUUUCUUGGGUUUUUGGGGAUUUUUUCUGGGUUUUAUUGGGAUUUUUUCCAGGGUUUUUUGGGAUUUUUUCUGGGUUUUAUUGGGAUUUUUUCUGGCUUUUAUUGGGAUUUUUUCUGGGUUUUAUUGGGAUUUUUUCUGGGUUUUUUGGGAUUUCUUUUUUGAUUUUUUGGGGGAUUUUUUCUUGGGUUUUUUAGGAUUUUUUUCUGGGUUUUUUGGGAUUUUUUCUGGGUUUUUUGGGAUUUUUUCUGGCUUNNNNNNNNNNNNNNNNNNNNUUUCCCGGCGGGAUCUGGAGGCGUUUUCGGCGGAGCCGCUGCUGCUGUUCCCCACGCACUACACGGGGGAGCCCGGCUACGUCAGCGACACC